rnacentral:lncRNA from 1 species
CUGGAAAACCACAGAAGCAUGUGUGAUGAUUAUGGACAGGAAAUCCUGAUCCCAAGGUUGCAGCCUCACAGCAUCACUAAAAGUGCCUCUACAACUUCAUUUCCUGCUAGGCCCCAGCUCUGACUCUCCUUCAUCUGACCUUUCACACAGUUAACCCCAUGAAUGGACAAUAGCGCCCUUUACUUGGGCCCCAUGACCACAGCAAAGCCUGCAGCUGGAGCGCACAGCAAGCCUUCUUUGGCCCGAGGGCAUGCCAACAGCUGAGAAAGAUCACCGGGCUGCCAAGGGGAUUUUUAUUUGAAUGGUCAAGUGGUCGCAGAUGUAAAGGAUGAAAGUACCCUCUGCACAAUGAACCAAGAUCAAAAACUGGAGAUGGAUGAGAUACCUCAAAGAAAUUGGCUUUAACAGGUGCUGAGGAGCCUCAUGGUGGAUCUGCUGGACCUCAGAAGAGUAAACAUCUGAACAACUCCAGCUGUUUAUACUGUAUGCUUUUGAUUUCUUGUCAGAUAUCAAAAGCAUCAUAUAGUCUGACACAGGGUUUUUUGUUGAGUGUCAAAUGAUUACAGACUUAUUUACUUUUCGAUAAAAGUGAAAAUCCUAAAAGCUGACCUGUCCAGCGACCGGGUUCACUUUAAAUGAAACAGGGCUUUAAUGGCGGGGACUGGCUCUGGCAAUCCUGCGACCCCGAAGGAGGAUAUGGCGGA